UACGUAGGGUGCAAGCGUUAAUCGGAAUUACUGGGCGUAAAGCGUGCGCAGGCGGCUUUGCAAGACAGAUGUGAAAUCCCCGGGCUCAACCUGGGAACUGCAUUUGUGACUGCAUGGCUGGAGUGCGGCAGAGGGGGAUGGAAUUCCGCGUGUAGCAGUGAAAUGCGUAGAUAUGCGGAGGAACACCGAUGGCGAAGGCAAUCCCCUGGGCCCGCACUGACGCUCAUGCACGAAAGCGUGGGGAGCAAACAGG
rnacentral:rRNA from 1 species